rnacentral:rRNA from 1 species
UACGUAGGGGGCUAGCGUUGUCCGGAAUCAUUGGGCGUAAAGCGCGCGUAGGCGGCCCGGUAAGUCCGCUGUGAAAGUCAAAGGCUCAACCUUUGAAUGUCAGCGGAUACUGCCGGGCUAGAGUCCGGAAGAGGCGAGUGGAAUUCCUGGUGUAGCGGUGGAAUGCGCAGAUAUCAGGAGGAACACCAACGGCGAAGGCAGCUCGCUGGGGACGGUACUGACGCUGAGGCGCGAAAAGCGUGGGGGAGCGAACAGG